GGAGAGAGUAAGUCUCGGUCAUAGAGAGGGAAGUGUGGAGGCGGGAAAGAGUGAGGAAAGAGAAGGACAUAACAAGCGUAGAAAAAUGUGUGUGCUUGUGUUUGCUUAUUGCAGUGGCCCCACCUACCCCGCCAUCCUGUUAAGGAGGCAGAGUCCCGAGGAGGAGGAGGAAGAGGAGGAUAGUGGGAUCCCCUCCCUCGGUCAGCAACACACACACACAUCCUCUCUCUGUAGCUCACACACACACUGCUCCAUGAGGCAGCAGUCGCUGAGCAGCUCUGGAUAGACCACGCGAGGUUCUGCAGGUGUCCCACCCUUCUCUCAAGCCAGAGAUGCUCCAGCAGUGAUGGAAGAAAAAUGUUCGAAAAAGCAGAAGAUGCACAGAAAUUCAACAAAGACCCCAGGUUAUGCUCUGCACCAGGAUUUCGCUACUACAUGUGUUUGUUAAGGUCAGAAGCUGAAAGCUGGUCAGUGGGUGACCUGAGCGGGAUGCCUGGCUGACAUCUGACCUCUGACCCGGUGUGAAGGUUGACCCCAGAUGACAUGGUCCAACAAUAUGAGGCACGUGCCUUGGCCUAAUCGCCAUGGUAAUGUAAGACCUUUCAGGGAAGGGC